rnacentral:rRNA from 1 species
UACGUAGGGUGCGAGCGUUGCCCGGAUUUAUUGGGCGUAAAGGGCGCGUAGGCGGCUCUGCACGUCCGUUGUGAAAUCGCCCGGCUCAACUGGGCGGGGUCAGCGGAUACGGCGGAGCUUGAGCAAGCUAGGGGGCAAUGGAAUUCCCGGUGUAGUGGUGGAAUGCGUAGAUAUCGGGAGGAACACCAGUGGCGAAAGCGGCGCACUGGACCACAACUGACGCUGAGGCGCGAAAAGCUAGGGGGAGCAAACAGG